GGGGGUGUAGCUCAGUGGUAGAGCACUUGUCUAGUACAUGUGAGGCACUGGGUUCUAUCCUCAGCACCACAU
rfam:Ictidomys tridecemlineatus contig001959, whole genome shotgun sequence.